rnacentral:rRNA from 1 species
AUGCUAGAGACACGGAGCGCCUUGUACUCUCUGGUAGAGGAGACAUGCCCAAAAGCACAGGACUCAAAAUGGCAGAGCCUUUUCCCCUCUAGCUCAUGCUCCAAUUCCUCUGAGAAGCCCAACGGCAAGGCGAUAGUAGCUCCAGUGGCCGGGUUGAGCACCCAGAAGGCCCGAGAGCAGACAACCCAGCUCAAACAGAUGAGGUCCAGCCGCGUGCGCACAACACGGAUGCUGUCGAACAUCAGAUCAGAUUUGUACUUGGUAUUCGGAAUCCGCUUCACCACGUUGCCCGACAGAUCCAAAAUCUCGACAACGUUGUGA